AGCUGCAGCCAAGGUGUGCCUUAUAAAGAGCAAGGUUGACAGCAGGUGUGAGUCCUCAGCGUUUGGGCCUUAAGGAGACAGGCCUGCCUCUCUUCUGCCUGACCUUCUGCUGUCUACGUUCUGCAGAUGCAGAGCAAUAUUGUUGGCACAUAUGGCCUCUGUCUAUGACUGUAAAUUGCACUACCUGCCAAUCAGCUACCAGGCUAGGUUCAAGGUGCAGGUACUGGUCUACAAAGCCCUAUACUGUUUGGAACCAGGAUGCCUAAAAGAUCGCCUCAUCCCCACCUACCCAACCAAUCAUUGCAAUCUGCAGAAGAGGACAUCCUGCAGAUACCAUCCUCUGGAACUCCUUCCCAUUGCAUUUCAGAAAGGACUGUCUGCCUCUGUGUGUUUGCGUGUAUGGGAGCACUAGGUGACAGAUGGAUUCACAAAUGGAACAACAUGGACAUACGUGUGCAAAAGCAAGGAAGCUGUUUUCAAUGAACUUUUAGACCUCAGAAAUAUGGAGCUCGUCAUGUUGGGUUGUGACAUGUUUCCCUGCCUACUUAGUACAAGUGAUGGUAAAUUGUCUCAAAGCAGGUGUCUGAUCCACUCAGACACCCAAAUCCCCCUCCCCCAAACCACACACAGCUUUUCUUUCUGCACAAAGAAUAAAGCUCAUUGUUUCUUCUGACCUUGGUAAACAGAAACAGUUAUCUCCAGUUACUAAGCUCUGGCUCUUCAGACAAGCCAGCUAGAGCUCAUGAGCAUAUUGUCAACCCAUGAACAUAUUUUUAAAACUCAAAGUUUUCUGAAUUAAAGAGAACAUCUCAUUUUCUUCCAGACACUUAACAGAAAGCAUAUAUUAAUUAGCAAUUUAGGUUUUGAUAACAUGUCUAUGUAAUUCCUAUCCAGAUGGUUUAAAAAAUA